rnacentral:rRNA from 1 species
CAGUAGCCACGGGAAUACGAAGGGGGCUAGCGUUGUUCGGAAUUACUGGGCGUAAAGGGCGCGUAGGCGGCCAUUCAAGUUAGAUGUGAAAGCCCUGGGCUCAACCUAGGAAUUGCAUUUGAUACUGUUUAGCUUGAGUUCGGGAGAGGUGAGUGGAAUUCCCAGUGUAGAGGUGAAAUUCGUAGAUAUUGGGAAGAACACCAGUGGCGAAGGCGGCUCACUGGACCGACACUGACGCUGAGGCGCGAAAGCGUGGGGAGCAAACAGGAUUAGAUACCCCAGUAGUCCCUGUCUCUUAUAC